GCCACGCUCAGCCUGUCGGCUCAGAGGUGAAGUGCAGGCGCGCUGCUCUUCCGGUCCCUUCUGAUGUCAGCCAGAGAAACGAGGGAAGUAGCAUGCUAAGAGGAAGAGAAAACCAGGAUAAAACCUCGGAGUUUACCUGUGAAAAGGAAAAAAAACAGUUGGAGCACUUACCCAGUGGAGGUCCGGAGCCAAGUGACUGAACGAAGGAGAGAGUUACGCAGAGAGCCGCAGCAAGGUCCGACAUCAGCGUGCUCCGCCUUGAUACACAGAGAGUAACGACGGUGUUGAAUGUAACAGAUGGCAAGCCAACCACCCUGAAGAAAGAUCAGCACCGAGAAGAUAUCCACGUACUCACUCAUUCACACACACAUUGUACAUUUACGUUACACUACAAAGACCUUUGGAAUCAGGUGAACUUGCAAUAAUCCUACAACAGGAAAACCUACAACAACUCCUAUUUUACUUAAGGGCCCCAACGGACAUUUUUUUGUUUCAAGUGUGCACACUGGGUUUUUCUUAUUGUCUUACGUUUUGGGUCAUUAUUUUGUAUUCUGUACAAAUCAGUUAAUGUGCAUUUUUUUUCUGAAGAAAAGUUAAACAUCAUUUGGUAUCUGUGCUCUCUGCAUUGGUCAAGAACAAUUAUCCAGCGAGUCUUCCCUAAUUAAAAAAGUAGCAGAUACCGGAAUCACCACCUCUGGUCAGAAAUUUAAGAACAACAUUAGAACAAAAAUGGGAUGAAGAGGUUUGUGAGAUUAGUCUUGAGCUGAAGUGAUAGGCUUUGUUUCUGGGUAGUGUCAUGUCAAAUUUCUACAGAAUAUUCUUCCCACACAUGACCUUUAGAAAUGACUCAUGGCAAAUUGGUCAGUAACUACAUUUUACAUCUGUUUUGUAUGAUGAGAUGUGUAAUCAAUAUUGUCUAAGCACAACCUCUCUAGACAAUUAACACUACAGUUGCAUGUCAACAUAACUCACUAAAACGUACAAGGUUAAUGUGUUCCUGCAAAUGUAAGGUAUUGCAGAAUAAUCAAUACAGCAGCUGAGAAGGCCUUGAGGCCUCCUUUUCUAAGAAUUGAUGAGUAGGAUUGGAAUUUAUAGAAUUAUGGCUAAGAAAGGUUAAAUAAAUCAAGUAAUGGUCUAAGUAGAUAGGAUGUUACCAAAAUUAACGGGUUUGUAAAUCUGAUAUGAAACCCCCAGGCAGGUAGGAAUCAAAUUCAGGUAUAAAAGAAGAUGGUCUUCAGUCUGUAAUCAGUGUCCGUGCUCAUCAACUAGCCUCUUUUUCUUGUAUCUUGUCAAAUUUAUAGCAAAUCUAAGACUUGUACCUGACUCUGCCUGUCUCUGAGUUUAUGUUUGUGUUCAGAUACAUGAUGAGUUUAUAAAUAACGAUUUUUAAAGUGUUAAUGGUAGUCUAAAUUGUUAAAAGAUCUUCAGAUUCAGUAAAGAAGUUUUCCACGACAAUAGUCAUAUGUCCAACCAAUCAUGUGAUCCUAUGAGUUCAACUAAAAUCUGUGAGAAAAACUGUGAUUCAGAUUGAGGAUUGUGAUUCUACCACUAUGAUCUUUUGACCAAAUCACCCACCCCUGUGAAGCACAUUAUUAUACUCCAAGAAACCACAUAGCUGUGUGUUGACCAGUGAUAGUAGGAUUUUGGAUAGACAGAACAGCUUUGGGGUAGGUCUGUAGUUGUUAAGGUCAGAUGGAAACACUUGAGCUUGAGCACCUCCAUAUUGAGGGUACUUUUACCUGAGGCAAAAGUUGCCUUAAAAAUUUAUAUUGGUGAGGCAGUAACAACUGGAGCAUUGAGGCGAAGGAGUUGUAGAUUAAAGCUGUCUUCACUCGGAACACUUCUUCCAUUUACACGUAUUAGUACAUUAUGUAUCUCAGAAUAUGUGACAGGUCUGGCAGAAAAUUUGCUGUGUGGGAGGUGAGGACUAGAACAGAAGGAACUUUGUGAUCUAGGAGUCUUGCCUUUGACAGUAGGUGUGGAUACAUUGUCAAACAUUUGACAUGAUGUAAUGAAAUAAAAUGUUAAAUGCUUCACCCAUGUCAUGUUUAUUAACAAUGGGCCCAUCUUUGCCAAUAAUUACCGGUGGAUGCAGUGUGGAAGACUUGCUUGUCAUGGACUUUCCUCAAAUCAAAUAGGCAUUUAGUUUGUACAGGACCCAUUGCACGCAUGCUUGGUAGUUUAUUAUAUUAAUGUGCACUGAAUGUGCACAAUAUGCAGAAGAAAAGGAAAGGAUGUGACAGCCAAGACAGCCAUUUAUUAAAGCCCCC
ensembl:lncRNA